rnacentral:rRNA from 1 species
AUGACCAUGGUGACUCCUCGCGCCCCCGAGCCGCCGCCGCAGGACCAGGACGAGGAGAUGCUUGUGCCACAACAGGAAGUGGAGGUCUUCGAGGGACCGCAGCCGAUGGAAGAAUCCAUGCCAGCUGUUGACAAUGAAAGUUUGCCUGAUGCAUCAACUUCCAGAUUUACAUGGAAGAUUGAAAGUAUAUCCAAGCACAGUGGUAGAAAAACUCACUCUGACGUUUUUGUGGUUGGGGGUUACAGCUGGCGAGUGUUGGUUUUCCCCACAGGAAACAAUGUAAAUCACCUUUCAAUGUAUCUGGAUGUUGCUGAUGCUAAGUCUUUACCUACUGGCUGGAGUAGGAGUGCCCAAUUUAGCCUUGCUGUGAUCAACCAAUUAGACAGCAAGCACUCAGUAAGAAAAGAAGUAACACAUACAUUUAAUUCUCGAGAAAGUGAUUGGGGUUUUACGUCCUUUAUGCCUUUAAUUGAUCUAUAUGAUCCUAGUAAAGGUUAUAUUGUGAACGAUCAAUGCAUCAUUGAAGCUGAGGUUGCUGUGCGUAAAAUUGUGGAUUACUGGAACUACGACUCAAAAAAGGAGACUGGUUAUGUUGGUCUCAAGAAUCAAGGUGCCACUUGUUACAUGAAUUCGCUGCUCCAGACACUCUACCAUAUUCCCUACUUUAGGAAGGCCGUGUACCAUAUGCCUACUGUCGAUACACCUUCCGGGAGCAUUCCUUUAGCUUUGCAAAGUCUUUUCUACAGACUUCAGCAUGGUGACAAUAGUAUUUCCACAAAAGAGCUGACUAAAUCUUUUGGAUGGGAUUCCUAUGAGUCGUUUAUGCAGCAUGAUGUCCAAGAGUUAAAUCGGGUUCUAUGUGAAAAGCUGGAGGAUAAAAUGAAGGGAACUAUUGUGGAAGGAACAAUACAAAAAUUAUUUGAAGGUCACCAUAUGAAUUAUAUUGAGUGCAUUGGUGUUGACUACAAAUCUACUAGAAAAGAGUCAUUCUAUGAUCUCGCACUUGAUGUCAAGGGCUGCUCAGAUGUUUAUGCAUCUUUUGAUAAGUAUGUAGCUGUAGAGAUGUUGGAUGGUGAUAAUAAGUAUCAAUCUGAAAAAUACGGCCUGCAGGAUGCCAAGAAAGGGAUGCUUUUUAUUGAUUUCCCUCCAGUUCUGCAACUUCAACUGAAGCGGUUUGAAUAUGAUCAUGCGCGGGAUAUAAUGGUUAAGAUAAACGACCGUUAUGAGUUCCCACUUCAGUUGGAUCUUGACAGAGAUGACGGGAAAUAUCUCUCUCCAGAAGCUGAUAGGAGUGUGCGCAACCUCUAUACUCUUCACAGUGUGCUAGUUCACAGUGGUGGAGUUAGUGGUGGACACUACUAUGCCUUCAUCCGCCCUACCCUUUCUAAUCAAUGGUACAAGUUCGAUGAUGAACGAGUGACAAAAGAAGACACGAAACGGGCGUUGGAGGAGCAGUAUGGUGGCGAGGAAGAGCUCCCCCAUACUAAUCCUGGACUGAAUAUGAACCCACUUAAAUUUACCAAGUAUUCAAAUGCUUACAUGCUUGUGUACAUACGUGAAAGUGACAAAGAGAAAAUUGUUUGUGAUUUGGAAGAGACAGACAUCAAUGAAGACCUUAAGACUAGGCUAAGAAAGGAAGACGAAGACAAGGAGAACAAGAAAAAAGAGAAAGCUGAGGCUCACAUGUUCACUACAUUUAAGGUUGCCAGAGAUCAUGAUUUGGCAGCACAAAUUGGACGAGACAUGUUUUUUGAUCUCGUGGAUUAUGAAAAAAUUCAUCCUAUCCGUGUACUUAAAGACAUGCCAUUCAACCAGGUUAAGGAGGAGUUCUCAAAAGAAUUUGGUAUCCCCGUCCACUCCCAGAGAUUUUGGUGGUGGUCUAAGCGGCAGAACAACACCUACAGGCCCACUCGGCCAUUAACUCAACAGGAGGAAUCAUAUACUGUUGGACAGCUUAAAGAUGCAGCAAUUCGAAUGAACAGUUCUGAAUUGAGGCUGUACUUGGAGGUUGUACAGGAGAAUCAUUUGACUCUUGCUUCGAGGACAAAGGAUGAUAUUUUGCUUUUCUUCAAGCUCUAUGACCCUGAAAAAGAAGAACUAAGAUAUGUUGGGAAUCUUCUCUUGAAAGCAUCAAGUAAGCCAUCUGAUAUAGUGCCAAAAUUGAAUGAGAUAGCAGGAUUUCAGCCUGAUGAAGACAUUGAGUUGUACGAGGAAAUAAAAUUUGAGCCAAAUAUUAUGUGCGAACCAGUUGACUGUGAUGUUUCCUUCAGUUUAAACCAGAUUGCAGAUGGAGACAUAUUGUGCUACCAAAAACGUUGUUCUCUGGACCAACACCGACAUCCCAAUGUAUCUUCUUUCUUUGAAUAUGUCCAUAAUAGACAGGUUGUGCACUUCAGAUUGCUUGAAAAGCCAAAACAAGACGACUUCUCUCUAGAACUAUCAAAACGUUCCACAUAUGAUGAUGUUGUUGAGAAAGUUGCACAACAUCUUGGUAUGGAUGAUCCUUCAAAACUCCGCCUUACUCAGCACAUCCCGCAUUUACAGCAACCGAAACAUCAAUACAUCAAGUAUAGAAGUAUUGAUCAUCUUUCAGAUAUGUUACUUUUACGUAACCCUAAUCAGAUGUCUGACAUUUUAUAUUAUGAAAUACUGGACAUUCCUUUGCCAGAACUGCAAGGUCUGAUAACAUUGAGAGUUGCUUUUCACCAAGCUACACCUAAUGAGGUGCUGUUUCACAUUAUACGAUUGCCAAAGGGUAGCGCUUAUUCUGAUUUGAUCGACGACUUAAAAUCAAAGGUUAAGCUAUCUCGAAGUGACGCUGAGCUUAGGCUAUUUCAGGUCAACAAUAACAAGAUAUGGAAGGUGUACCAGCCUACUGAGAAAAUAGACGCAGUUCAUGAUCCAAAUGUACCUCUUCAUGUUGAGGAGAUUCCCGAAGAAGAGGAAAGUGCCGGUCCGCGAGACCGUUUGGUUCAUGUCGUCCACUUCUUCAAAGAUAACCAGCACAUUCAAUACUAUGGAGUGCCAUUCUUCUUCCUUAUUCGUGAGGGCGAGGCUUUGUCAGAUAUCAAAGUACGCAUUCAGAAGAAAUUUGAGGUUCCAGACGAGCAGUUUCUUAAGUGGAAAUUCGCUUAUGUUGCCUACAAUCGCUCGGAUUACCUCCAAGAUUCAGAUAUUGUAUUGAGCCGAUUCCAGCAGAAAAACAUUUAUGGACCAUGGGAACAAUCCCUAGGACUGGAGCACUCAGACAUGCCCACCAAAAGGGCCAAUCAGAAUCGCCAUUCUUUUGAAAAGCCGGUGAAGAUCUACAACUAA